rnacentral:rRNA from 1 species
AGCACGUAGGUGGGUUUGUAAGUAAGACGUGAAAGCCUUCUGUUCAACGGAAGAAUUGCAUCUGAAACUACAAACCUUGAGUGUAGGAGGGGAGAAUGGAACUUCUGGUGGAGCGGUGAAAUGCGUAGAUAUCAAAAGGAACGCCGGCGGCGAAAGCGAUUCUCUGGCCUAUUACUGACACUCAGUGUGCGAAAGCUAGGGGGGCAAACGGGAUUAGAUACCCGGUAGUCCUAGCCGUAAACGAUGGGCACUAAGUAGAGGGG